UACGUAGGGGGCUAGCGUUGUUCGGAAUUACUGGGCGUAAAGCGUGCGCAGGCGGUGAUGUAAGACAGGUGUGAAAUCCCCGGGCUUAACCUGGGAACUGCAUUUGUGACUGCAUCGCUGGAGUGCGGCAGAGGGGGAUGGAAUUCCGCGUGUAGCAGUGAAAUGCGUAGAUAUGCGGAGGAACACCGAUGGCGAAGGCAGCUCCCUGGCCGCACUGACGCUCAUACACGAAAGCGUGGGGAGCAAACAG
rnacentral:rRNA from 1 species